GACGAACGCUGGCGGCGUGCUUAAUACAUGCAAGUCAACUUGACUUUAGAUAGCAAUAUCGAAAAGUAGGGUGGCGCACGGGUGCGUAACGCGUAGGUAAUCUGCCCUGAGGUCUGACAUAACCCGUCGAAAGGCGGGCUAACAUCAGAUGAUAUAUAAUCACGACAUCGUGGAAAUAUCAAAUCUUCGGAGCCUUGGGAUGAGCCUGCGUCUGAUUAGGUAGUUGGCGGAGUAAUAGCCCACCAAGCCUACGAUCAGUAGCUGGUCUGAGAGGAUGAUCAGCCACACUGGAACUGAGACACGGUCCAGACUCCGUACGGGAGGCAGCAGUAAGGAAUAUUGCUCAAGUCGGGGGAAACCCUGAAGCAGCAACGCCGCGU
rnacentral:rRNA from 1 species